rnacentral:rRNA from 1 species
AAAGGCUAAAGACGACGUUACUACCGAUAGCGCAGAAGUACCGUGAGGGAAAGGCGAAAAGAACCCCGGUGAGGGGAGUGAAAGAGAACCUGAAACCGUAAACCCACAACAGGUCGGAGCCCGGAGCGAUCCGGGUGACGGCGUGCCUUUUGUAGAAUGAGCCUGCGAGUUAUGGGGGCGAGCGAGGUUAAGSGAUGGRAGUYSCGGAGCCKGAGGGAAACCGAGUCUKAAYAGGGCGYAGCGAGACGDAAGUBCGCGKAUAGUUCGUUAUCAUAGACCCGAAGCCAAGUGAUCUAGAUAUGAGCAGGCUGAAGCUCAGGUAAAACUGAGUGGAGGGCCGAACCCUAGUCUGUUAAAAAAGGCAGGGAUGACUUGUGUCUUGGAGUGAAAGGCUAAACAAACUUGGAAAUAGCUGGUUCUCCCCGAAAUGCCUUGAGGGACAGCCUUGUCAAAAUCUUGCGCAGGUAGAGCACUGGAUGGACUAGGGGGCUUCACCGCCUACCAAACCCAAUCAAACUCCGAAUGGCGCAAGACAACUGACGGGAGUGAGACUGCGGGCGACAAGGUUCGUAGUCGAGAGGGAAACAGCCCGGACCGCCGGCUAAGGUCCCGGAUGGUAUGCUGAGUGUGAAAUGAUGUGUGAUGGCGCAGACAGCCAGGAGGUUGGCUUAGAAGCAGCCAUACCUUAAAAGAGUGCGUAAUAGCUCACUGGUCGAGUCAUCGCGCGCAGACAAUGUAACGGGGCUAAGCAUACAACCGAAGCCGCGGGUUCAUAUAGCGAUAUAUGGACGGUAGGGGAGCAUUCCACGGACCGAAGAAGGCGCGUCGGGAGGCGCGCUGGAGGGGGUGGAAGAGAGAAUGCAGGUAUAAGUAUACGAAAAGACGGGUGAGAUCCCCGUCCGCCGAAAGCCUAAGGAUUCCUGGGUAAAGGUCAUCUGCCCAGGGUAAGUCGGCCCCUAAGGCGAGGACGAAAGUCGUAGUCGAUGGGAAACGGGUUCAGAUUCCCGUACCUUACUAAGUUUUGAAGGGAUGACGCAUGAGGUGAAACCCGGCCGGGCGACGGUUGUCCCGGUCGAAGUGGUAAGCCGUUGAAGGGUAUAGGCAAAUCCGUACCCUGAGGUAAGCCAUGACAGCGAGUGGAGCUACGGCAAAGCGAAGCGGGCGUAAUCAGGGUGCCAAGAAAUAAUCUCUAAAGCUAGGCUUGGUAAGACCGUACCGGAAACCGACACAGGUAGGCGGGAUGAGCAAUCUAAGGCGCUCGAGAGAACUCGCGUUAAGGAACUCGGCAAAAAGCACACGUAACUUCGGGAGAAGUGUGGCCGAUUUUGGUUUAGUAAUAGGUUAGAGUCGGCAGCAUAAAGCAGUCCCAGGCGACUGUUUACCAAAAACACAGGCCUCUGCAAAUCAGUAAUGAGACGUAUAGGGGCUGACACCUGCCCGGUGCCGGAAGGUUAAGGGGAGCGGUUAGCCGCAAGGCAAAGCUGUGAACUGAAGCCCCGGUAAACGGCGGCCGUAACUAUAACGGUCCUAAGGUAGCGAAAUUCCUUGUCGGGUAAGUUCCGACCCGCACGAAAGGUGUAACGAUCUGGGAGCUGUCUCAACGCGAGACUCGGUGAAAUUUAUGUACCGGUAAAGAAGCCGGUUACCCGUGGUUAGACGGAAAGACCCCGUGAACCUUCAUGGAGGAAGGGACUACCCUGCCAAGACCUGUCGCGACUUGCAUGUGGCACAUC